GACGAACGCUGGCGGCGCGCUUAACACAUGCAAGUCGAACGGAAAGGCCUGCUUUCCCUUGUGGAUUGCGGGUACUCGAGUGGCGAACGGGUGAGUAACACAUGAGUGAUCUGCCCCCAACUUGGGUAUAAGCCUGGGAAACUGGGUCUAAUUCCCGAUAGGACUGCAGGGUGGUGCCUGUGGUGGAAAACGAUUUUCUAGUGGUUGGGGAUGAGCUCGCGGCCUAUCAGCUUGUUGGUGGGGUAAUGGCCUACCAAGGCGGCGACGGGUAGCCGGCCUGGGAGGGUGGACGGCCACAUUGGGACUGAGAUACGGCCCAGACUCCUACGGGAGGCAGCAGUGGGGAAUAUUACACAAUGGGCGGAAGCCUGAUGCAGCGACGCCGCGUGGGGGAUGACGGCCUUCGGGUUGUAAACUCCUUUCGACCGCGAGGAAGCCACCUGGUUGGAAGGGUGGUGACGGCAGUGGUAGAAGAAGCACCGGCUAACUACGUG
rnacentral:rRNA from 1 species